rnacentral:lncRNA from 1 species
AAAUGCUCAUGCGGCUGGGUCAGAGUAACAGCAAAGGAAGGAUAGGCCCUGUAGUCCAUGGUUAUGGCCUAGUCCUUAAACUAGGAAAGUCACUGAAGCCCUGUGUUCUUACCUGUGACCCCUGGAUGACGUGCUCAGGUGCACAUAAAUAGCUCAGCCAAGGUUGGAUUCCUGAGGUGCAUUUAUAAGAACUGACCACCAGAGGGCAGUGGGGCCUUGGCCCACACCCCAGAUCCCCUUAAGACAGACCUGAGCUGUCCAGAAAAGAUCCUGACCCAGCCUGGAGCAGGAGCUAGUGUAACUUACAAAGUCCAAAGUACGCAGUGCCAAAAGAACUGUAGGGAGGGACCACACUGCAUUUUUGUACUGAUGUCCUAGCAGGAAAUGGAUGGCACACUCAAAGGGUGUGGGCAGGAUUAUGGGUCCCAGGGAUGGGACCCAGUGGGGUUCUCUACAGGAAACUGUAGAGAUGAAAGGGCAAGAGGAGGAACUGAAAUUCUGGAAGGAGUGGGAGGUGUGCCCAGCUAGAACUGUGGCUGCAGGGAGCAGAACACAGCCCCUGCCAGAGGGGACCAGGGAGCACCUGUUCUGACUUCUUUGCUCCUCAUGGUGCCCCCAUUGGCCAAAUCCAACGGAAAACAGGAAAGGAGGGCAACCUGAGUGAGUGAAUUUAGAUGGGAAACAGGACAUCCAAGCAGAGUCAUCCCUGUGUCCCUCAACCCUUGUCCUUUGGGUGAAAAACUCCAGUUCCUGUUGCUUUAUAGUUA